UAGGGAAUCUUCGGCAAUGGACGAAAGUCUGACCGAGCAACGCCGCGUGAGUGAAGAAGGUUUUCGGAUCGUAAAACUCUGUUGUUAGAGAAGAACAAGGACGUUAGUAACUGAACGUCCCCUGACGGUAUCUAACCAGAAAGCCACGGCUAACUACGUGCCGGCAGCCGCGGUAAUACGUAGGUGGCAAGCGUUGUCCGGAUUUAUUGGGCGUAAAGCGAGCGCAGGCGGUUUCUUAAGUCUGAUGUGAAAGCCCCCGGCUCAACCGGGGAGGGUCAUUGGAAACUGGGAGAGUUGAGUGCAGAAGAGGAGAGUGGAAUUCCAUGUGUAGCGGUGAAAUGCGUAGAUAUAUGGAGGAACACGAGUGGCGAAGGCGGCUCUCUGGUCUGUAACUGACGCUGAGGCGCGAAAGCGUGGGGAGCAAACAGG
rnacentral:rRNA from 1 species